CGACGAUGGUCGGAAGCUCGCGAUUGCCGGGCGCGUCGAACGUGAACUUGAUGUCGUGCGAGCCGACCUUUUCCGCCUUCACCACAUGCUUGUAGUAGGACGAAUACAUCGGACUGUAUUUCUUCAGCGACUCUAGCGAGAACAGCACGUCUUCCGGAGUCACCGGCUUGCCGUCAUGCCACUUCGCGUCCUUGCGAAGACGAUAGAUCACCCACGAAAUACCGACUCCGCCAGCAGACAAUAUUGGGUGGUCGCCUCAUCCAGAGACCGCGCCAUCAGC
rnacentral:misc_RNA from 1 species